UACAGAGGUCUCAAGCGUUGUUCGGAUUCAUUGGGCGUAAAGGGCGCGUAGGCGGCGGGGUAAGUCGGGUGUGAAAUCUCAGAGCUCAACUCUGAAAUGGCACUUGAUACUGCUCUGCUAGAGGACUGGAGAGGAGAUUGGAAUUCACGGUGUAGCAGUGAAAUGCGUAGAUAUCGUGAGGAAGACCGGUGGCGAAGGCGGAUCUCUGGACAGUUCCUGACGCUGAGGCGCGAAGGCGUGGGGAGCAAACAGG
rnacentral:rRNA from 1 species